CCAGAGUACCAAUGGCAGUAUCUAUUUCCUUUACAGAGAAGGGACAAGAGUACUCAGAAAGCGUUCAGCCUGUCCGCCAAAAAGCUGAAAGCGCUUUCUUGAUGAGAUUGGAGUGUCCUUUCACCCUUGGAGCUUUGGAGAGAGAUACAACUCAAGAGGCUACUUGCGCCUAGGCUAAAAUCCGCCCUACCUGGCCGCGUGGCGCCGCCUGGUGAUUCCCGGAGGGGAUCUCGCACAUCCUCCUGCUCCUGAGCUGGGAAGAAAAACCAGGACUCUGCGAGAAAGGGGGCGGGACUUUGUAGAGGCAGAACGAACUUCUCGAGAUCAAAUCCUACCAACCAAUCAAUUUCCGACGCCGUUCACAUAACGGAAGCUUUUUCUGACGGAGAGAUCAGGCACUCUCCACUCUUCCUCCUCCUCAGAAUGAACAAAGCCCUCUAACUAAAAAGAAGAUGAAUUGAAAGAAAGAAUAACUGAGUAUCUACAACAGCACCAAAACAAUAGAAUAAGAUUUCCUGCAUUGAAGCUUGUUCCAAAGAGCUAGCACAAGUAUUAAAAGAUGUCAAUACUAUAAUAACAAAUAUAAGCACCAGCUCACUGUAAGAAUCAAAUCAACAACUGUACAGAACAUGUGCAAUUAUAACUGAAUAACUGGGAUACAAAAUCAGAAACAAGAAAGAAAAAUGGUGCAUCACCAAAAUGAAACAUUAAAUGGAAAAUAAGAUCAGCCUGUU